CUUCAUGCGAGUCCUGAACAGAAGAAACUGAAUUUCUUGAUGUUUUGGAACUCGCUUCUAAACCCUAAACCUAUAAUUCGUUCUUUUUUGGCCAGAAGUAAUUUUUGGAGAAAAUAAACAAAAGCAGCAGCAGAGAUUAAAUUGCAGAUGAAACUGAGAAGGAAAUCGGAGCGGAAACUGAUAUGGGUUUGUCGACAGAAUGUGGUGGUUAUGAUUGGGACAAACGUGACCAUCGGAUCGAGAUCCCGUGGCCUGGAAAAAGUGGAGGAUGGAAUAAUUAGUGGCCGUCGAGAUUAGAUCCUGUGGUUUGGAUCGGUCGGAUCUGUUUUGGCUAAUUACAGCCCGCGUACACCGUAUCUUUUCUCACAUAUAUCUAAAGAAAAUUAAAAAGAUCCUCUUCUUUGUUAUUAACUCGAUCUUCUUAAUGGAAAUUCUGGAAUUCGAAUUCGAGAGCAGAAUCUCGAUCUUUAUGCGAGUCCUGAACAGAAGAAACUGAAUUUCUUGAUGUUUUGAAACUCGCUUCUAAACCCUAAACCUAUAAUUCGUUCUUUUUUGGCCAGAAGUAAUUCUUGGAGAAAAUAAACAAAAGCAGCAGCAGAGAUUAAAUUGCAGAUGAAACUGAGAAGGAAAUCGGAGCGGAAACUGAUAUGGGUUUGUCUACAUAAGGGUUAUUGCGAACUGAGAUUGAUCGUAAGAUAUAAAGAUGAAUUGAUGGAAAUUUGCUAAAUUAGGGUUUGGAUUGAGAUAUGAAGAUGAUUCUGAUAAUACUGGUGUUAACAGCGAGGAAUUGGAAUUGGGUUAUGUCUGAAUUAGGUUUUGAGAUGUUGGUGACGAGCUCUGUCCAGAAGAAUUGACAUCUAGGGUUUGGUGAUUUAGAAGCAGUGAGAUUGCGGCUUCUUGGUUCUGGUGUUGGAGAAGGUUUGAACAAGAAAUUGCAGAUGAAUGAUUCAGGGGGCGAAGUUGAAUUGGAAAGACGAUGAAGAGAAAUAACAUAAAAAGAUAGAAUCAAUCGCAACUCAGAUGCUGAGAGUCAAUUCGAUUUUUACGUUGGUUUAGGCCUUGGUAGAAGCAAUAUGAGGUUGAUUUCGGUCUCUGUAAGAUUCGUUAUGAUGUUGGUUUCGGCCUCCGCAGGAUUCUGUCUACAGAGUCUGUUAUGGGUUUGGUUUAGAAAGAUUGAUGCAGGUGAAUGGAGAGAAGAUGUUUUUGCUGCUAAGUCCAAUGGCUCAAGUUCUAAAUCAAGUUUGCAAUGGGUGCUGUGAAAUGAUGCUAUCAAGGUUGAAGUCAGAUGAAUUAAAGGGUAAUUAUCGUAACUUAAUUAAUGUUUGACGUCUUUGAAUGAAUGGGUUGUUGCCGAAAUUGAGAAAUCGCAGGGAAGGAGAGUUGAGAUAUAACUGGGAGUGUAUGAUGCCAGAACAAACUGAAACUGACAGGCAUAUCAUCUUGAGAGUCAAUGGGAGAUAUAUACUACUAAAUGCAAGGAUGAAACUGCAAGUGUAAAUGACCAUGGUGCUACGGAACUUUAUCAUCUUGAGAGCCAGUGGCAGCAACCCGAAUCGAAUUCCUUCACUGAGAUGAUACAGCCUAGCAGAUCACGGGUAUUUACUUUCCUGUUCUUGCUGUGAAACUUGCUGAGUUUCUGGAAUGAUGUAGGAAAUUCUAUCUAAAAGGUCAGAUUAUCUAAAUAAGUAUUCGUUAUCUUCAGUUUUUUUGUUAAUUUUCUGUUUGUGAACCUAAUGGUUUGGAGAUAUCUUUCGAGUUUAGAGACAUCUUCAUGUCAAUUUCUAAAGUUAACCGAGUAUUACGAAUAUCUUAUUUCAGUUUUCUAUGUUUGGCUACUGUUAUUUAUCAAUAUCUUGGAAGCAUCUCACCCCUCUUUGACAACCCUUCGAAAAAUUGCUAAAGUUAAUCAUAAGCCAGUGUAAGUUGUUCGUCCCACUAUCUCAGUAAGGGCGUAAAAUCUUAUCGAGUUAUGCAGGUUCCCACUUCAGUACUAGCCUUAAUUCUAAGUACUCAAUACUCUUAAUGGGGCUUAUUAUUGGGUUCUUAUGUAGGUGAUUGUUUUCGGUGCAGGAUACUCAAAAUUAUGAUUACAAAUCCUCUUUGUGGGGAUGUUUUUAGGCUCAAAUGGUAAUCAGACACCAUAGCUCACAAUGAGGGCCAGACGAGACAUUGUUAUUAUUCCAGGGAAUCUGAUUAGUUUUUGCGUAUCGGAAAGACCAUGAAGAGGGGUAACAGAAAAAAGUAUUAUGCUGCAUCUGAGGCUUGGAAGAAUGAAGGUGGAUGAAUGAUUUAAGGUAAUCCUCUACUGUCAAAGUUAUUAUCUAAAAUUUAUGUUACAUCAGUCUAUACUAAAAUUUGUUAUUAUCUGAAAUAAGUCCACCAAAGUUCAUGACAUUAGCUGCAUUAAUUUGCAUGAUCCUUCGGAACUAGCAUAUUUGUCUCUCCUGUGGAUUUCUGAGAGUUGCUGCUGUGAUGAAUUUUGUUUAAAUUGAGGCUAUGGGAUGUUCAAUUGUGUUUGCCUUCUACCGGCUAUCUCAUGUGAUUGCACCGACUUGGAUUGCCACAAGUAAAGAUUAUUGUUCCUCUACUAUUUCUUUUCAAAUGUAGUUAGCUUCACUGUAAUUGCAGGGUUGUCUUUCCAUAAGGAGAUCUCUAAUACUCUUGGUAUGUUUAAUGUAUUUUUUUCUUAAUUCGAACUGUUGGUGUAUUUGUCUGCUACUUACUGAAAUCGAAAUCGAAAUCGAUGAUUGAGUAUCGAUUUAUGGUAGGCACAAAACAAAGCAAUCAAAUAGGGAUACUGAUUAUUAUGACUGCGUUCGUUAAUAGUUGGGUUCCCCCAUUAUUGACCACUGGUUAAAUCUAAGUUUGAUACCUUUUUCCAUUGUUGUUAAUGGUCUGUACUAUGUCCUUUUUCAAUUUCACUUUCUGUUUUUCAGAAUGCAGGCAGGGUUGGCAAAAAAGGAGAAAUUUGCUCGCACAUAUUUUUAUUCAUUAUUCUUAAUUUGCAAACCUGCUGCUCAUACUUUUCAGGUAUCCGAUUAUUCUCAAGGUACUAAGUCAACAAAUAUCUUGCUUAAUGCAGAUUAUCAAACUAAGGUAGCAGCUUUUGGAACUCCAAAAGUUUAUAAACAAAAGAAAUGAACUAUGAAGGAACUUUGUGGUAAUGAUGGCUUUAUAAUUUUUGAAAGGGAAGUUCGUUUAGAAUUAUAUCUUAUUUGGUCUAAAAAAAUUUUCCUAUUGCAGCAAUAUGUUAUAUGUAUUCGUACGUCUAUAAGAUUUAAAAUCCAAAGUUUCGAUUAAGCUUUUGAAUUUAGAGGUAUUUGAGUCAUUAAAAAUUUGUUGUUACUGAAAUUGAUAAGGUUAAAGUCGAUGAUAGGUGUUUCUGCCUUCAGUUAAGUUUAUAUUCCGCAACUAAAUCCCACCCAAAGGAAUCAAAUAGAUAAUCUUCAGGGUUUUUUUUAUGUAAUGUUAAUUUCCAGGUGUUUUUGGUUUUCUUUUUGUCUUUAAUAUACUCAACAUUUUUCUUACAGAUUAUUCUUAGCUUUGGCAUAUUUCUGUUGAAAUAUCUGCACUUAAGCUGGGGAGGUUUGCAAUCCGUGUUUAACGUUAUUACCUUCAUUCAUAUGUCCAGUCCUAAUUGAUAUGUGUUAGUAUUUCUAUAUCUAAUCUGUAGUGCUCCCAGAGGCAUCUGUGGUUAGAGAUGAAAAUACUAUCCCCAUUUCAGUUAGAAAGACAGAAAGGAACAGGUGGUGUGCGGUAUUGCUCGCCGGUAAUGCUCUUUUGGUCUUCCUUGCAGAGAUUGCUGUGGCUGAGUCAUGCUCUUGAAUCUAAGAUUAUGAGAUUUGUCAGCGUCUCCACUGGCUUCUUUAAGAGAAAAGGCAAUUAAGAUGAUGGGUUUGGUCCAUCGAGUUUCACCUGCCAAGAUUUGUACAUUCCAAAAUCUUGGUGACUCAAAUAUGGGAGAUAAGUUUUGAUUCUGGAGGCAGUUUCCUAUAAAAGUCGAUUUACAAUGGGAGGAACAGCGGAAAGGAAUGAAAAAGGUGGUUUGCAGUGAAGAUAAAGAUCUUUGGUGAAAAGGCUCGGAUAUUAGAGAAAACAUUUUUUCCACCGUAGAGCCGCAAGGGAAAACAGUAGCAAGAUUAGUUUUGGUCAGCCAAAAGAGCAAUGGACCAUGGUCGUUCCAAAUUCAUGGUCACAAUCAUCACAUGAUUUGUUUAUUAUUACCAAGGAGUGAACUAUCGUAUGGCAGCCAUGGAGGCAGGUAAUCCAAUAAGCAACAUGAAGGGUAUCAUAGUUGGAACUCCAAUAAGCAACUGAAGGUUUCGAAACAUGUCUACCAGAGGUAAAUCCUAUUACUUUAUGCAAGGACCUAAAGUCUGUGGCUGCCAAACUGAAACUGACAGGCAUAUCAGCAAACUGUGGGUGUAUGGAUUUCAUUUCAUGUAAUGAAAUUACCAGCAAGGUUCCUCAGAAUAUAUAAAUUGCCAUAUGUUUUACUCCUCCGUGGACUGUUCCAGUUAAGACUUAUGUUGAAUCUAUCCCGUGUCGUGUUUAGGGCUUCGAGGUACUAAUGUUUUCUACGGAUUCUCAACAGCUAUACUAUAUUUUGUGGUAAUUAUCGCAUGACUUUAUCAUCUCCACUCUUCAAUGUGAAGUUCGCUUGGAAUUUUUCUAUUUUUUUGUUGUUGCAGUAAGGGCUUAUAUCUGUUCUUCAUAGAGUUUGCAGAGAAGGUUUGUAUGCAGGGUAUGACCAACUAAAAUUAAGCAUUGCUCUCUUUUGUAGUCUGGGUUAUACUUAUCACGGAUUGACAUGUUGUAAAGGGUAUACUAUAAACAAUUGAUUCUGAUGGAUAUUCGAUAGUUGAUUACAUAGUUGCUGAUGUGAAUAGUUUUGCCUAAAUUGAUUCUGAUGGAUAUUCGAUUGCAUUUGCCUUCUACCGGCUAUCUGAUGUGAUUUUUUGGUUUUUGUUUUUCUUUGCAGGUGCCCGCAUUCAUUGGUUUACUUGCCCCGACUGAGGUUACCACAAUUCUUAAGAAGAACGAAAGCUCUAGCAAAGGUUUUAAUUGAAACAAAAUCAUCCUAGAUCAUGAGCUGAUGACCCAUGUCAAUCCAAAUGUCACUAAGCUCAUCGUCGUCGGCUCAAUGAAGUCCAUCCUGCGAUCUUAUGCUUAUUGUCAGAAGUCAGAACCCGUCAUGUAUUGCCAUUUACCAAUGCCUAAAGCCAUGAAAAAAUAGAAUGAUGAUGAUACUCACGGCUAUGGGGAGUUUUGUUGGAGUUGUUUCGGAGAAUGGGAGCCAUGAAACUAUGUAAUUUUGGAAACUCCAUUGUGGGGUGUGAUUGUUAAUGCACUAGAGUUUCCAGUAUUACAUAGUUUGAUGGUUUCUCAAUCAAAAAAAGCUCUUUCGAAGCACUGUUGAUAAUGCAUCUCAGAUAAUGCAUGGCUUAGGGCUGCCAGUGAGUUGGAAUUGUAUGGAGCAGUCUGGCGUUGAUAAUUAAAAUUGCACAUGAAAGGUAACGUCUGUAUGACUGCGGAAGAGGUGAUAGAAGAAUGCAAGUUUUUCUAUUUCUUACAUGGAACAUUAUAGUCUUGAGCAUGCAUCAAGAUUGGCAAGAGAAUGCCAGUGAAGAGGUCAUAAGAAUCUGUGGGAAAAAACCACCUCAGUUUGAAAGUCUGGCCCAUCUAAAGACUGUGUGUGCCAGUUUAAGGAGAUGUGGUGGUUGUGUUCGAGUCAUUCGUGUUCGUCGGAUUUGGUGAUCCAAUGGCCUGGAAGGAGUAAUUCGGGGAGGGGAAAAAAGUAAUAGGGGAGACACAGCCACCGUCGGAUCGGGCGAUCCUGGGGCCAGGAUAUAUCUUUGGCGAGAGAUAUACCUGUUCGUCCGAUCUUUUUUUGAGGAAUAAGAUCCGUCCGUCCAUCCGAAUACGAUAGCUUUUAUUAAAACCUCCGUCAUCUUAUUCUCUUUGUAGCCUAACGCAAUUUUUCAUCAGCAGUAUUUCUCUCUGAUGAAUUCCAUUGAAGCAAAGCUAUCUCAUCUUGCGUCAACCUCAAGAUCUAUGAAACCAAACAUACCCUGAUUCUGGAUGGAAUUCAAUGAGGAUUCAUCUUUGCAAAUUCGUAGAAUUAGAGAAGAAUCGAGCCCUAAUUUUGGGUUUAAUUUUUUUUCAGAUUAAUAACUGACGCAGGUAAUUGUUGGUUUGUUUUACUUCUCUGUAUGAUAGCAAAUUCAAGGGAACUCUGGAGUAAGAAAUCUGAGCUUUCAUCCACCUUAAGGUAAUUGGUCUUUGAUAUGUCAUAAUGCUUAUCCGUUAGUAAUUGAUUUUUGAUUUCCUCCCAUACGAUAGUAGAAUUCGCAAGGUCCACAUGGGAGUUCAAAGCGCAGGGUGAUGUUAUGGAUAGACGGAUAGAGGUAACUACGAUGAGUCGGGAUGUAAAAGAGCAUAAUUUUUGCACAGUUACAUUGUUCUGGGUUCAUGUCCAGUGAAUUGAUCCUCAGGCUGUCGUGGGUAUGUCGAACUGUAUAUGAACUUAUCCACUUUUAAAUUUGUAGAAAAAUAGAGGUCCAACCGGAAAAUUAAGGACAACAAUGGGGGAGAACUCCGGAGUGCCAAGCAGCAGUAGAGUUUGGUCUAGCAGUAACUGAAUAAAAUUGGUUUAUGGGCUGUAGUAUGGAAACUAGCUUUAGAGUUCUUGAGUGCAGUGCUACUGCAAUCCGAGUUUGAUGUUUGAAUUUUGUUUAUUUAAUUCCUAUAUAUCCAGGUAGUGGAGCUGGGAAGCAAUGUCAUUCGCAGGAAAAACCCAAAAAUCUACAACACGGUGGUGUAUUUGGUCGAUAAGCUUUACAACACAGUGGUGUAUUUGGUCGAUAAGCUUUCCCCAAAUAAGGCUUGCUGUCAAUGUCACAACUCCGAAGGCUUUAAGUACCUAUACAUAUAUGCAUAUAAACAUACAUUUUCUUAUUUGCCCAGUUAUCACUUCUCACCGGAUUUGUGACUUAAACUUCAGUUUGAUGGAGCAAAUAGAGUAGAUCUAUCUUUUUUGCUGCAGUUCAUUCCUUACAACGCUACCUAAUUCUCUUGCUACCAACAGGACCUUCCUCCCUCGAUUAAACAUUAACAGGUGGGAUAUGAAGACAUCUAUUUGAUACUUGGCGGGAGCAAGGUGAUAAUGAAUAGGUUACGGCAAUAUGAAAAGCAUAAUGUAUCUCCUUUUCUUAUAAUUAACCAACUCUCUUUUUUGCUGUGUGUGAUUGUCCAAUGAACUCGGUGGAGGGAGCUGGCAAGGAGAGAAAUUUGCAAUAGUGGUGUCUACACUUACAUCAUUGACAAAUGUGGUUGUGCUGUUUGUGUUUAUACAGUGCAUGUUUAUAGUGCAUUAAGCAGUAGCAACAGAUGAUACCUUAAAGGACCAAAUUGUUUCUUCUUCUACCAUCAUCAAUGAAGAGUGAUGAUCAAUCACAUCCUCCAAGUACGCGAUCGGCUAUCAACUGGUAUUGCAGUAAUUGACUUCUAACUGAUUGAUUUUGUGAGAAUGGAAGAAUCACCACAUUAUCAGGCGGCAAAAAUGGCAUACCAACCGAUUAGGAUUAAAAAUACUUAAAGAUUUGGUUGUACUGCCUUUAUGGUUACUGCAUAAAUUUUUUUCGUGUUUUUAUGAUACAGUAAAAUGUUCUAAUUUAAGGGAGCUCAAAUAUGAAUGCACACAACCAAUACUUCCAUCUGUCUGUUUUCUUUAUGUAGGCUACAUGUCUCUCAUCUAUGGUGUUUUUGUGGAAAUGGAAGCCUUGGGCCCCGCUAACCCCACUCUUAAAAGAAAGUUCAUGACACAUUUCUUAUAAGUUAUAAUGAGAACCAUGGGAAUAAUAUACAUUUCCAUGAUUUGUUGGAUAUCGGGGUCCAAGCCCCGGCUAUUAUGAUGACUC